UUGGAGUGGGACGAACUAUUGCAGAAUCCAUUUCUUGCCUUUUACCAGAGAUGGCCGUGGUUACGCCCAAAAUACUCCAUUCAUCAAUCUUUGGAAUAUUAUCGUAAAUCU
rnacentral:snRNA from 1 species